AAUCCCUCAAAGAGCAGUCUCCAAUAGCCUAAAUGGAAAUCGCCCUGCCGGGGACAGAGCGGCUGACCUCUCACCACAGCUGGCCCAGGCUCACAGUGACUGAUGGAGCCACACAAGGUCAGGGGCGGCAGCAGGGUUAGCAGAGAGAUUGGCCAGCGUGCCAGCCCAUUCACUAACACCUGGCGCCCUGCCUGUCCCCCAGCCUCGGGGCCUCUGGAGCUACUGUGAGGGAGGAGCCCUCCGCCCUGCUGGGCUUAGCCACCUGGACCCCACAAAGGCACUGGCUGCCCAGAGCCGGCCCCAGAAAGGGCCCAAACCAACAGGGGGGAGUUUCACUGCUGCAGCUGGACCAGGGAGAAGCUGGUGCGAGCUCUGUUGUCUCUAAUUUCUCCCAGAGUCACCAUCAUUCCUCUGAGGGUCCCUCUUUCCCAAAUUUGUUUUCAUUGAUGGGUAUGUUAAUUCAUUCAACUCUCAAGAUAAGCUCUGUAUGAUGGAUACCAUUAUCUCCAUGAGGCAGAUGAGGAAGUGAAGCUCAGAAAGAAAACUGAUCCAAUGUCGGCCACACAGUGGUAGAGCCAGCAUGUGAAACCACCUCUGGCCGGCUCCAAAGCCAAAGAUGCUGAGAUUCAUUCAUUCGCACAUACGAUAGAGUCCCUAUCAAGUCCAAGUUCCGUGGGAAACUGGAAAUAAAUGGUAUAUGAGACCCA
rnacentral:lncRNA from 1 species